ensembl:lncRNA
AUGGUCAAAGCCAUGUUCCUGCCAGCCUCAGGAGCUGCGUGUGGCCGGAGCAGGAUGGGGCCCGGGACAGGUCCAGAUGUGGGACUCGCCCAGUGCAGCGGCUCCGAGCUCCCGCACCCCCCUCUAGCGGCAAAUCCUAGAGGGUUUUGCCGCUGGGACAGGGGGCACAAGGGGACCCCUCGCCCUGAUCACCCCCACGUUGGGAUCCCUGGCCCCAGCCGGGUUAGGGACCACGUUACACGUGCCAGGAGGCUUCUGCCUGGCACAGGGCGGGCAGCGGGUGUCCCCGCACUGCUCCACGCCCCCCAACACCCGAUGAGGAGUCCGGGGAGAUGGCGGUGCUGGGCUCCUGCCGCAUGCUGGUGGGCAGCGAGGGGAGCGCAGCGCUGCACCCACACCCUGCCACCCCGACGGGGGCUCGCGGGGGGCUCCUUGCCCUCCGUGCCCCCGUCAGCAUCGUGCAGGGGCGCGAGGGCUGCAGCACGCAGGUGCUGCCAGGUGCAGAGCUGCAAAUCCCCGGGCCGGGAAUCGGCGCGGCAUCGCUCCCGGAAAUCCAGCCGGGGUCCACCCACUGCUUGUAGAGGAAAGUGCGGUGAAUCACCCGUGCGGGGAAGGAAAACGCAGCGAGCGUGGGCCUUCGGGGCCUCCCCGGGCAGGCCUGCUGCAGGAGGGGGGCAUGGAGGGAGCAGCCCCGGGGGGGUGGCCGAGCCCGUCCCAGCCGGCAGCAGCGCUCUGCUCCCCGCAGGGCAGCCCCACAGGCUGUUUGCCAGGCAGACAUCCCAGCCAGUGGCACUUGGAGAGAAACGUUUUUCUCUGGAAAAGAAAUGGUUCUGGGUCUGGGUUUGGUAUAACACGGACUGGGCUGCUGCGGCUGCCCAACGCGGGGGUGCAAAGCCCUUGGGAUGGCCUGCGGUGCUCCCCCUGGUCUGCCAGGGUCCUCUGAUAUCCCUCAACCCCGUGGGCUGUCUCUGGUACCCCACGGUGCAACGAACAGCAGGUGAGAAGAGAUCUGUGUGUCCACAAAGAGCCGUGCUAUCUUCCAGCCACAUCAGACUCUCAGGACAGACACCUCCUUACAGCAAGCGCUUGGCGCUGUGCCCGAGGGCUGCAGCAAGGGCAGGCGGUGCUGGGCUCGGACAGCAGCCGGGGGGCACUAGGGAUGGGGUCUGGGCUCCUUGGGACCCGCCGGUGAUGGGAAGGGCAGAUUGCAGGCACCUGCUGCCAGCUGAUAAAGGACGCUGCAGGCAGCCCCCCCCCCGCUGCUGUGCCCACGGAGAGCUGCCUCCCUCCCCGUGCUGUGCCCUGGGCUCCUCAGAAACCCUCCAGGAGCAGCAGGUGCGGAAGCCUGACAGCUCUUAUCAAACGUGGGACAAGAAAGGGGAAACCAAGCUGUGCCUUUGGAAGCUUCCUUUUUGGGCUCCCUUCUCCUGCCUUUGAGCAUUUCUACAAGUGGCUGUUGGCCUGCACCAGCAAGCCUCUGGGUUACUUCCAGCUUGCAGCCUGCUUACUGUAGGGCCGUGUAGAUGCCUGUGGUGGUUUGGUGCACAGCACGGCUAGGGCUGGGUGGGAUGUCGUAGCAGUGCCACCUGUGCCAUCAAACUGCAGCCGAAGCCUUUAGCUGAGGGCUGCUUCUCCUGUCCUCAGACCAAGAGAAAAGCAAAAGGUCACUUCCCAGUGCCUAGCACAGCCAGCCUUGCCUACAGUGCUGUGUAAAUGGAACAAAACGUUACUGAAAUUGAAGCAAUCAAGCUCUGAGUGCCUGAAAGCGAGCAGUGCAUUGAUUGGCAAGAAAAUGGUUUUGUUUCCAUGCAUUUGGAGGACCACAGCCGCUCACCGAGGGCAGAAGUACGGGAAGAAGCGCCAGCACGCACUGCGAGCGUGCGCCCUGUUCUCUCCUGGGGCUGGUAGGGAGAGGGAGCACAGACAGAUAAAUAUUCCUGCUGGUAUCAGCCCACCUGAAGUGAAGGUGAACUUACAGACGCUCAGCCGAAUUAAAGCACAUGUGAGCUGGAGCUGUCAGUGGGGGAAAUGCAGGACGAUCUUCGUUUCUGCACGCACGCUCGCUUCAGUUCAAACGACCUGGGGCAGCAAAGUCUCUGCAAUGAGCUGUGCGAACCCACUCCGAUGGAAUCGGGUGAAGGUGCAACUAGUGCUGGGCCAGGAGAGGCGAGGCGGCGGCAGAGGGCAGUGACCCGUCUGGUAGGGCUGUGCUGGAAGGGGCGCGGGUGGCACCCACGGAGUUGAUUGCAGUCUUAUCUUUUAUGAGUUACUCCUCUCUGUGAAAAGGAAUUAAAGGGAAGCCAUUUGGCCCAGCUGAGCGAAGUGUGAAGAUAGUAUGAUAGAGCCACUUCUUACCCUUUGUGGCCCGUUUAAUGAAGCUGAAUGUCAUGCUUUGUAUGACUCAAUUCUACUGUUUGCUGUUUUAACGCAGGAAAUGCUUUCCAGGUGAGUUCAUGCAGUGUCAUUCUUCACGU